AAAAGGGAAGCGCUUGUGACCAGACUUGCGUCCGGUGAAUCACCCAGCUCUCGCGGCUGGGGCACUUCGCCGGCUCAGGCCAGCAUCAGCUCGCUGUCGGGGACAAAAGCUUCAGGAACGUAGCUCUCUUCGGGGAGUGUUAUAGCCUGUUGCAUAAUACCCUUCGGCGGGCUGAGGUACGCGCUCCGCAAGGAUGCUGGCAUAAU
rnacentral:rRNA from 2 species